GGGCAGUUAGCUCAGCGGUAGAGCACCUCGCUUACACCGAGGCUGUCGGGGGUUCGAAUCCCUCACUGCCCA
rnacentral:tRNA from 1 species